GAUGAACGCUGGCGGCGUGCCUAAUACAUGCAAGUAGAACGCUGAAGGAGGAGCUUGCUCUUCUGGAUGAGUUGCGAACGGGUGAGUAACGCGUAGGUAACCUGCCUGGUAGCGGGGGAUAACUAUUGGAAACGAUAGCUAAUACCGCAUGACAACCGUUAUUGCAUGAUAACUGUUUAAAAGGGGCAACUGCUCCACUACCAGAUGGACCUGCGUUGUAUUAGAUAGUUGGUGAGGUAACGGCUCACCAAGGCGACGAUACAUAGCCGGCCUGAGAGGGUGAUCGGCCACACUGGAACUGAGACACGGCCCAGACUCCUACGGGAGGCAGCAGUGGGGAAUAUUGGGCAAUGGACGGAAGCCUGACCGAGCAACGCCGCGUGGGUGAAGAAGGUUUUCGGAUCGUAAAGCCCUUUUGUAGGGAAAGAAAAGGUGGAGGGUUGGAAAGUGCUGUUGUGACGGUAACCUACCAGAAAGGGACGGCUAACUACGUG
rnacentral:rRNA from 1 species